rnacentral:rRNA from 1 species
AUACGGAGGAUACGAGCGUUAUCCGGAUUUAUUGGGUUUAAAGGGUGCGCAGGCGGAUCGGUAAGUCAGGGGUGAAAAGUCCGUGCUUAACAUGAAUCGUGCCCUUGAUACUGCCGGACUGGAGUGCGAUAGGCGUGGCCGGAAUGUGGUGUGUAGCGGUGAAAUGCUUAGAUAUGCCACAGAACACCGAUCGAGAAGUCAGGUCACGAGUUCGCAACUGACGCUCAUGCACGAAAGCGUGGGGAUCAAACAGGAUUAGAUACCCUGGUAGUCCACGCUGUAAACGAUGAUCACUCGUUGUCGGGGGGCGACCCUCGGUGGCCAAGCGAAAGCGAUAAGUGAUCCACCUGGGGAGUACGAUCGCAAGGUUGAAACUCAAAUGAAUUGACGGGG